CUUGAAAUCAGCACGCGGCCCUCCUUCUUCCCUGCAGUCAUUCCAGCCGGGUCUGAAGUUUCUUGUUGCCAUGCUGGGGGCAGGAGGAGGAGGAGCCCGUUUUUAUCUGGCUUCCUGAACAAUCUCCUAUUAUUGCUUGGAAAGCAUUCAAGCGUCUUCAUUCCACUCUGGAAUCUGCGUCCUGGACAGUCUGUUCGCUCGCCCUCCAAAUCUUACUCAUGUUUGCAAUCCGGGUGUAAUGCUUGUACGGAUUUCGUCCACUCUCUGAGCCGCUUUUGGUGAUGUUUUUUGGUCAGUCGCUGAAAGCGCCACUCUUGUGUCUCUUGAGUAAAAUAGCUGAACUGGGAUUGAUUGAAAGGCUUCAUGUGACCUCCCCUGAGACUGAGGAACAGGGAUUUUCAUCUGCCUAUAACUGUGGCUGUCUGAACAAAACCAUCAACUCCGCACCCACUGUAGACAUUAAUUUUUGGAAUAACUAGUGAACCGUCUCUGUGUAUUUCCUGAUAUUGAGUUUUGCAUAAUUACAUUUCUCUUUUCACUUCCUGUAAUUAGUAGCUCCUUGGCCUGGCUGGUUUUGUAUUUAAAUACCUCCUACAGAAAAAUA